CUACGGGGCGCUCCAGUGGGGAAUAUUGGACAAUGGGGGAAACCCUGAUCCGGCAAUGCCGCGUGUGUGAAGAAGGCCUGCGGGUUGUAAAGCACUUUCGGUUGGGAGGACUGCUUCUAGCACUAAUAUUGUUGGAAGUUGACGUUACCUUCAGAAGAAGCACCGGCUAACUCCGUGCCAGCAGCCGCGGUAAUACGGGAGGGUGCAAGCGUUAAUCGGAAUUACUGGGCGUAAAGCGCGCGUAGGCGGCUAGAUCAGUCGGGUGUGAAAGCCCCGGGCUUAACCUGGGAACUGCAUCCGAUAAUGUCUAGCUUGAGUACAGGAGAGGAGAGUGGAAUUCCACAUGUAGCGGUGAAAUGCGUAGAUAUGUGGAGGAACACCAAUGGCGAAGGCAGCUCUCUGGCCUGAUACUGACGCUGAGGUGCGAAAGCGUGGGGAGCAAACAGGAUUAGAUACCCCUGUAGUC
rnacentral:rRNA from 1 species